rnacentral:rRNA from 1 species
AUCGUAACAAGGUCUCCGUUGGUGAACCAGCGGAGGGAUCAUUACAGAGUUGCAAAACUCCCCAAACCAUUGUGAACCUACCCAAAGAACCGUUGCUUCGGCGGGCGGCGCCCGGGCUCUCCCGGGUGGCCCCCCGGCCCCCCGCGGGCGCCCGCCGGAGGAUUAUACAACACCCUGUUGCUCCGUAUGGCCUCUCUGAGUCUCUGUACUUGAAUAAGUCAAAACUUUCAACAACGGAUCUCUUGGUUCUGGCAUCGAUGAAGAACGCAGCGAAAUGCGAUAAGUAAUGUGAAUUGCAGAAUUCAGUGAAUCAUCGAAUCUUUGAACGCACAUUGCGCCCGCCAGUAUUCUGGCGGGCAUGCCUGUUCGAGCGUCAUUUCAACCAUCGAGCCCCCGGGCUUGUGUUGGGGACCUGCGGCUGCCCGCAGGCCCUGAAAACCAGUGGCGGGCUCGCUGUCACCCCGAGCGUAGUAGUUAAUCCAACUCGCCCAGGGCGUGCUGCGGGCUCCGGCCGUUAAGCCACCCAUUACCCCCCCAAGGUUGACCUCGGAUCAGGUAGGAAUACCCGCUGAACUUAAGCAUAUCAAUAAGCGGAGGACCUGUGUGA